AGGGGAUUAAGGGAUAAAAAUCCCUGAGGGAGGGCGCCCCCUGUCCAACGGGUGCGCCGGAACUCCUUCUACCGGACACAAAAGCGCCGCUUUCCCGGAAAGGGAAAGCGGCGUGAAACGGAAUGGAAACACGCUCCCUCCGCUACACUUCUUCGGGGGACAGCCAGCGGAAGGAAACGAUGUUGAACUUUCUUCCAAACGCCUUGUUCACGGCGCUCAGCUCCGUAUCCUNAUGUCCGGCCACACUGGAACUGAGACACGGUCCAGACACCUACGGGUGGCAGCAGUCGAGAAUCAUUCACAAUGGGGGAAACCCUGAUGGUGCGACGCCGCGUGGGGGAAUGAAGGUCUUCGGAUUGUAAACCCCUGUCAUGUGGGAGCAAAUUAAAAGAUAGUACCACAAGAGGAAGAGACGGCUAACUCUGUGCCAGCAGCCGCGGUAAUACAGAGGUCUCAAGCGUUGUUCGGAAUCACUGGGCGUAAAGCGUGCGUAGGCUGUUUCGUAAGUCGUGUGUGAAAGGCGCGGGCUCAACCCGCGGACGGCACAUGAUACUGCGAGACUAGAGUAAUGGAGGGGGAACCGGAAUUCUCGGUGUAGCAGUGAAAUGCGUAGAUAUCGAGAGGAACACUCGUGGCGAAGGCGGGUUCCUGGACAUUAACUGACGCUGAGGCACGAAGGCCAGGGGAGCGAAAGGGAUUAGAUACCCCUGUAGUCCUGGCAGUAAACGGUGCACGCUUGGUGUGCGGGGAAUCGACCCCCUGCGUGCCGGAGCUAACGCGUUAAGCGUGCCGCCUGGGGAGUACGGUCGCAAGAUUAAAACUCAAAGAAAUUGACGGGGACCCGCACAAGCGGUGGAGUAUGUGGCUUAAUUCGAUGCAACGCGAAGAACCUUACCUGGGCUUGACAUGUAAUGAACAACAUGUGAAAGCAUGCGACUCUUCGGAGGCGUUACACAGGUGCUGCAUGGCCGUCGUCAGCUCGUGUCGUGAGAUGUUUGGUUAAGUCCAGCAACGAGCGCAACCCCUGUUGCCAGUUACCAGCACGUGAAGGUGGGGACUCUGGCGAGACUGCCCAGAUCAACUGGGAGGAAGGUGGGGACGACGUCAGGUCAGUAUGGCCCUUAUGCCCAGGGCUGCACACGUACUACAAUGCCCAGUACAGAGGGGGCCGAAGCCGCGAGGCGGAGGAAAUCCUAAAAACUGGGCCCAGUUCGGACUGUAGGCUGCAACCCGCCUACACGAAGCCGGAAUCGCUAGUAAUGGCGCAUCAGCUACGGCGCCGUGAAUACGUUCCCGGGUCUUGUACACACCGCCCGUCACAUCAUGGAAGCCGGUCGCACCCGAAGUAUCUGAAGCCAACCGCAAGGAGGCAGGGUCCUAAGGUGAGACUGGUAACUGGGAUGAAGUCGUAACAAGGUAGCCGUAGGGGAACCUGCGGCUG
rnacentral:rRNA from 1 species